UACGGGGGGUGCGAGCGUUGUCCGGAAUCACUGGGCGUAAAGGGCGCGUAGGUGGUUUGAUAAGGGUGUGGUGAAAGUCCGGAGCUCAACUCCGGGAUCUGCCGUGCCGACUGUCAAACUCGAGGGCUGUAGAGGCAGACGGAAUUCCGGGUGUAGCGGUGGAAGUGCGCAGAUAUCGGGAGGAACACCGGUGGCGAAGGCGGUUCUCUGGGCCUUACCUGCGCUGAGGAGCGAAAGCGUGGGG
rnacentral:rRNA from 1 species